CGCCGGUCGCCUUCCUGUGCCCCUGGGGCCUCCUCUGCCGCCCGUCCGGUAAGAGGGGAGCUGGCACCGCCCUGCCCUGCCCUGCCCUGCCCUGCCCGGAGCACUGAGCCCUGGCUGGACCUUCCGCCCCACUGCGAAAGGCGGGAGACCAUUCAAACAGGCAAGGCGAUAAACUUCUCAGCCAGGCGGAGUCCAGCGCCCCUCCUUCCUCCGCCCCACAGCGCCCCGGCUCCGCCGCCUUCCCAGCGGCACAGCUUUGAAGGAGAAACCCGGGCUGGGGGAAGCAGAGGAAGAGGGGCCACUCACUUGAUGAAGAAGACCCUCCCGCCGCCGUCCACCCCGUAGGUCCACCGGCCCGGCAGGUCCAGCCAGUCGAUCUCCUCGGCCAUCUCCGCGCCCCCGGGCGCCGGGCUGGCAGCGGCUCCGAGGCUCGCGCGCCCUCCGGGCCCGGCGGUGACCGUGGCCUCCGCGGAAGCGAGUUGGCCCAGUCGGCGGCCCGGCGAGCGCCGCGCAGACACCGCCGCCCUCCGGAGCGCUCCGGGCCGCUCCCGAACUUUAAUGACCGGCAAUUAGCGCGGGGCGUAAUUACGCGGGGCGCUCGGCCGCCGCGUCCGUCGGAGCCGGGCGCCCCAGGAGCGCAAGUCGCCGCCGCCUCUCGGAUCCCACACUGGCGGGCGGCGGGGCGGGGCAGGGCCGCGCCCGGGAAGGUAACCGGGGCCGGGAGCCCGCGAGAGCCUGAGUCACGGCCGAGGGGCACGGCCGGCCUCCCGGGGACAGGGCAGCGGCGCCCGAGCGGUACAAAGGUCAGGCGCUCGCUCCGGAGGGGGAGGCAGGGGAGGCCUGACUGCCAGCAGCUUCCCGCUGAGACGCCCAGCUCGCUAGUUAGGCCGGUCCUCGCCUCUCCUUCCGAGCACCUCCUCCAGGAAGCCCGCCGUGACUCCCUAGAGUCAGGGAAGCCCUAGGGACAAUUCAGAAACCAGCGCUGCGUCUCUCCAUCCUGUCCCCUAACACACCAGCAGUGGAGAGAAAUGAACUGUGCCGAUGCCUUCAGGCUGAUUCCUGGCUGCCAGGAGUAAGCUGACUCCAUUCCCCACAUGCAGAAGAGAAAGCUGAAGCCCAGAAUACCCCCGCUGCAUCCUCCCUGCUCAGCUCCCACAAACUCCACAUAGAAAGCGGCAUUGGAUGGAAUCGAACUUGGGAGCUUUCGAGGCAGGCAGUGGAACCUCUGAGCUAAGUCCCCGGCCCUUAGUUCCUGAAUUGGGGGAGUUCAGAGGGUCAGGGGAGCAGACUCCUUGGCCCCGAAGCCCCCAGCUUGUUAACCAGCUACAAGAGUCAUCCGGCUGAUAAAGCAUGGCCACCUGCCCAGCCCUGUGCUAUCCAAGGAUCGAAACCAGCACAGCUGCUGCCAAGAGGCCUGCACAGAAAAUACCAGCAGCCAGUGCUUCCCACCCCCAACCUGAACAACCAGUAUGGGCAGCUGCUGGGGCUGCAUGUGGGUGGAAACCAGGCGGAACGAUGCGUAUCCGGGAAACAUGUGUGGCCCUGUGUCUCCUCCGGGAGAGGGGGCUCCUGGGGGUUCCCUCACAGGGUGCUGGCUUGUUACUCUAUCUGCACUGGGUUCCUAGGAGCAUUCACCUAGACAAGGAAGGACCAGGGGUUGAUAUUUGGGGGGGGGUUUAUUCAUUUGGAAUAAGAAAUCAGGCUUGAAAAUCUUUUUCUAAUCAUGGUGUAUUAUCACUAGUGACUUUUUACAUCCUAAUUCUUGUUUAUCGAUCAUGAUUAACAGUGAUAUGGCUAGCAAUGACAUUUUAGCAAAAGAACUGCAGAUAUGCAGAAAAAGAAUUUUAGAAAAACAAUAAAAAUAGCUCUUGGUUCAGCAAUUGCCUGAAUCAGGAGGGAGGGCUGAUAUGUCAAAAUGAAAACCCUAUAGGUUUGGCAAGAAUUGAGUCAAAAAUUGAGUUGUUUGUUUUUGCCCUGGAGCAAAUUUUAUUUUACCUCUUUAAAAGGCAAUAAAACUUGUGGAUAAACUAUUAUCAAUAAUAGUAAGAAAUUCUGCCAGGCUUGGUGGUGCACACCUGUAAUCCCAGCCUUGGGAAGCUGAGGCAGGAAUUCACCAUGAGUUCCAGGCCAGCUGGGCUGCAUAGUGAAUUCAAAGCCAGCCUGAAAACAACAACAUCAUCAUCAUCAUCAUCAUCAUCAUAUUUAGUAAUUCAGGUUCUCAUAUUUGAGCUCUCAGAUUUGUCACUUCAACAGUAUAAUGUUAUUUGUUUGGUUUCUGUGAUUAGACCAAGAAGUGACCCUCCGGGUCAAAUCCCUAACACUUAUAACUGCUAUCUAAUUCAGUCUUUAUGCGACAUAAUUAGGUAAAGGAUGUUUUUUUCGCACUGGGGAUAGAACCCUACCAGUUAGCUACACCCCAUCCUGUCCAUUUUUCUCUUUGAUUUGAGGCUGGCAGGUGUCAUUUGGUGCUGCUAGGAGUCUCACUUGGGGAGAACUGGUCUGAAAGUGAAAACAGAAGAAAUGCAGCCAGAAGGUGAAGGGAGGGCUGGGGAUUUAGCUCAGUAGUUCUGCAAUCUGCCUUGAAAGUACAAGGUCCUGAGUUUGAUCCCCGGUACCAAAAAAAAAAAAGAAGAAGAAGAGCGAAGGGAGGCUGGAUCCUCCUUGUACCCCAUCACCCCUGAAGCCUCGCUGGCCAGCAGAGGCUCAGCCCCUGAAGUUUCCAGGUAUGGUUGCCAAUAAAUAAACACUCUUAUUUGCUUUUGUCAGUUUGAGGCGAGUUUGUGCCCCUAACAACUGAAAAUGUCCUGAUCAAUAUAAAGGUCACACAUGGGCACAAAACACACACCUGUUUCUUUUGUGUACUAGGAAAGCCAAGGAGAGAAUCAUAUCUAUUUCUAGUGACUCACGAAUGGGAGCCCUCUCUUUCAAGAAAACCAUGAUGUUAGAUCAAGAAAGGACCUGAGUUACACCUCUCUCACUGCAGAGCUCCGGGGGAAGUACCCAGAGUUGUUGCCAGGCCAUGGUAGAGUUGGGACCAGACUCACUCUGUUUGGGGAAAUUUGCUCCAUCAUUUAAACAUAGUUGGCCAAGAAGACUCUAACAUAUUCCUCUGCUCUAUAAAAGAAUAACCACAUCAGUGACUUUUAUUGAGUGCUGCUGUUUAAUAGUUAUGCUUACCUGCAGGUCACCAGCCCCUGCUGGUUUUCUUACAGGAAGCAGGAAGCAAAGGAAAGGAAGACAACACCCACCUCUGCUGGCUUUAGCGAUAUGGUUGUGGAAAUGUGCAGGGGCCCACCCUGACUCCUUAAAGCUUCUGAAAAGAGCUGAAAGAGGAAGGUUUUAUCAUAAAGACUGUGGCUCUAGCACUGGCAUCCAGAGUUCUCCCUACAGUCAGCUGAAUUAAUUACAUUUGUUCCACAGAUAGUUACCGAGUCCUGGUGCAUUCAGGCACCGUCCUUAAGUACAGGAGCCUCGGGAUGGAAUGAAACAGAAUCUCCUUGCUCUCAUGAAGUCUUUGGAGAAAAGGGGAAAGAAUAAAGGGAACACAAGGAGAGCAGCAGCGCCGCUGUCUUAUGCUGUAUGUAUUUUGUACGAGUGAUCAGGAAAGGCCUCAGCAAGGAUGCCAUUUGAACACAGGUUGGAAGGAAGGGAGAGAGCAAACCAUGUGGAUGUUGGGAAGCAGGUUCUGGGCAGAGGGAAUAGUAUGUGCAAAGGGCCGGAGGCAGGAGCACGCCUGGUGUUUGAUAACCAGCAAAGAGGCCAGUGUGGCUGCAGGAGGGCAAGCGAGGGAGAGAGCAGGUGGUAGAGAUGGAGAGUGUGGGAAGCCAGCUCAUGCCAGGCCAUGGUGAGGACUUUGGCUUUUAUUCCAAAUGCGUGAGGAGUGUAGGAAUGACAGGUCACAUGAGCAUGUGUGGAUGUGGUACCAGGGACUGAACCCGGGGCCUUCGCACUGAGCUACACCCCUCAGCCCUUUAUUUCAUUUCAUUUUAUUUUUGAGACAAAGUCUCCCUAAGUUGCCCAGGCCGGCCCAAACUUGUAGUCCUCCUGCCUCAGCCUCCCCGAGUGCUGGGAUUGCAGGCGUGUGCCACCAUAUCUGACUCAUGCCCAUUCUUUUUUAGGGCCUCCUAUUUGGAGUAGGAGAGAAGCAAAUUCCAGAAGGAGCCCAUACAAUGAUCUCAACCACACAGCUCCCAAGUUUGGCUGAGCAGAGAAGGCUCAGGACCAUCCCAAGGAGCAUGGCCUGAGCCCUGGGGAGGAGAGAGCUACCACUGACGAAGUGGAGGUCAGCUGUGAGGAGAGGAGAGCCCCACUGAGCAUGGUACAGGGGCGCCUGUAACAGACCGACGCAGAGAUGCCACGGGUGACCGGAUGCAGGAGACUAGAGCCUGUCUCAGGAGUCUGGAUGCCCACUUGGUGUUUGCCGAUGAUCAGAUGGCGCGACAGCCCCAGGCUGCUGGAGAUCACAGAGGAAGUGAGUGUAGGUGAGGAGGAGGUGGAGAUCGAGGGCUGGGAACUGGGGCAUCCAGCUUUCAGAGAUCAGGCUCAUGGAAGGAGCCUGCAAAGGAGACUGAGUAACAAGCAGCAGGCGGAGCGGGAGGACAAAGGAGCCAUGUGCGGGAGGCGCCCGUGUGUGCCGUAUCUGUGUGGCUCUGAGAAGCAGCCCAGUGCAGCCGGCCGGGGAGUGGUGCUUAGGUUCUAGAAGGGCUGAGGUAAGGUGGGUUCUGCCUGAGCAGGAAGCGACUUGUACUCCUGUGUGCCAGGGCAGAGAGGCGGCUUGGGUUAUUUUUAGGUUGGUCUGAGGAUGAUUCCUGGGAAGGUGAUGGUUUUGGCUAAUGAGCCCUUGCCUGCCGGAGAGAAGCAUCCCUGAAAUGUGCUUCCUUCAGCUCCAGCUCUCGAAGCCUCUGCCUGGCUCCUCCUGGGAAUGAUGCCAGCCCAAGAUGGCUGGCUGGGUCUUCCUGCCAGGACUGUGUCCUGGAGCUGAGAGCAGGGCUGGCAGCUCCCCAGGGGGAGGAGAGGAUUGUCGUUGUGGGGUGUGGGCUGGGGUUCCCGAAGGAAGGGCCCAGUGGCCACCCUGCUGAUGCUUCCCCUCGGGGUCUCCUUGAUGCUGUGGCUUAGGUAGGUAAUGCCCUUUGUGUACUGAUGAUUUUCAAGUCUGUCCUGGGGUUUUGCUAGAAGAUGGCAGCUGGUGCCGACUUUGGCACUUCCUGCAACUAACACAGUGCUUUGGUUCAGUUUAGUUCAAUAAACUUAUAAGGCACCAUUGUGUACCCCUCACUGUGUAAAAACUGUUUCUGCCUUCAGCUUCCUCCCUGCUUGGUCCUCCACCCUUGUAGGAGACCUUGGCUCAGGACUCACAUUCUCCUCUCCCCUCCCCCUUUCCUUCCCUUCCCCUGUCCCUCCCCUCCCCUCCCCCUGUCCCUCCCCUCCUCUCCCUUGAUGCUGUUUCUAGAGGGGAAUAAACUCUAAGAUCGGUCGGUUGCCAUAUAAAGCAGAACUAUUAUGCCCCCUCCGCCAACCUACUCCUCCUUCAGAAUUCUUUCUCUCCGUGCCUAACACCGUGCCUCUCCCUGUCACCAAGCGUAGUAAAUCAGUUGUCACCUCUUCCUCUCAUAAGGCACUAAAUCCUGCCAAGCUGCAUCUCUGUGGUCGCCUGUUCUGGUUUAACCACUACUUUGGUUGAGCUCCUUGCUUGUACCUGUAUUUAUUCAGAACACUCUGCAGCAUCUUUUUCUUCUAGUCGGUCCCUGGGUCAGUCCCUCUACCAAAUGAUCCAACAGCUCUUCCAGAAAAACCAAUGGACCUCAUCACCCUCCUGUGGGUGUCACUCUAUACAGAAUGAAACAGACCAAGCUUCUUCGAAUGGCAAAGCACUAUUAAUGAUUUAGGCUCCACCUAACAAAGCCCAUCCUCCAUGACAUUUGUCCUCGCCUCCCUGCCCUUUCACAGCCCCAUCACCCCAACACCCACGAGAUCAACAAUACCCAUUCUCAAGACCCAGCCAUAAUUCCAUCUAAUCCAGGGAAAGGAAUUAAAAGUUACUGAGAAAGGAAGCAAACAAUUGUAGCCAAUCGUGGGCUCUGGCACCAUCUGGGUUUAAUUCCUAGCUCUCUGCCAUUCCCUAGUUGUGUGACAUGGGUAAGUGACCACGCUGAGGUUCCCCAUCUGUAAACUGGGAGAUAUAUAUACACACCACAUAACAUACACUAUGGGAGUGUUUGCUGUUUUGUGCCAAAUAUGGUACUAACAAUGUUUCAUAUAUUAUCUAAUGUAAUCCUCCCAAAUACUCUGAGGGAUAUUAUAAUUAUAAUUUAUUAUUAUUAUUAUCAUUAUUAUUAUUUCGGGCUUUUGAGACAUGCUCUUGCUAUGUAGUCCAGGCUGGCCUUGAACUGGCAGCAAUCCUCCUGCCUCAGCCUCUCAAGUGCUGGGAUUACAGGUGUGUGCCACCACACCUGGCUUUGAGGGAUAGUAUAGAAAGUUUAUAGAUGGCCUCCUACAAUUCAAGUAAUUCACUCAAGGGAACAUACCUGGUAACCAUGGAGAGUUGAGGUUCAAGCCCAGGUUUGUCUAGAUCAAUGCCUAAGUUCUCUUCCUAGACUAGAAACAGUCCUAGGAAGGAAACCAAGAGUACUGAUCUAGUAAAGUGAUUCUUAGAAGGAGUAGGCAAAGAACAAUGUGUGCUGUGGGAAGACUAAGGGUAUAGAAUCAUUAGGAAGUAAUGCUAGGGUCUGAGCCGUGACAGGGAAUGAUGGGACAAUGUGUAACUCCACAAACGAUAGGAAACAAAUGGUAGGAAACAAAUGGUAGGAAAUGUUACACAUAUAAUCCCAAACGCAUCUUAGAAUUUGUUACUGGGAAAAAGUAAAUGUGUUUCAAAACCAGUAAACUUGAGGUCAAAGGUGCUACAUUUUAACUCCAUGGGACCUGCCACAAAGUUGGGGACUUAAAGUGUUUAAGAGCUGCAUGAAAUAUUGAAGUGCUAUCUUUACUGGAAAAAAAAAAAAAGUCAACCUAGAAUUCUAUAGCCUGUGAAGAUACCAUUCAAGGAAGUAAAGACUUUUUCAAACGAACAACCUCUGAGAGAAUUCAGCAACAGCGAACUCAUGUAAGAAUUGUUAAAGAAGUUCUUCAGGCAGAAGAAAACUAACAUAGAAAUUUUGGGCCGGGCAUGGUGGUGUACCCCUGUAAUCCAAGCACUUGAAGGCUGAGGCAAGAGAUCGCUGUGGAUUCGAGGCCAGUGUGGGCUACAUAGUUCAAGCCCACCCUGAAGUACAUAGUGAGACCCUGCCUCCGAAAAAAAAAAAAGAACUUUUGAG
ensembl:lncRNA